rnacentral:rRNA from 1 species
AUUAAACGCUGGCGGCAUGCCUUACACAUGCAAGUCGAACGGCAGCACGGGGGCAACCCUGGUGGCGAGUGGCGGACGGGUGAGUAAAGCAUCGGAACGUAUCCUGGAGUGGGGGAUAACGUAGCGAAAGUUACGCUAAUACCGCAUAUUCUGUGAGCAGGAAAGCAGGGGAUCGCAAGACCUUGCGCUCUGGGAGCGGCCGAUGUCGGAUUAGCUAGUUGGUGGGGUAAAGGCCCACCAAGGCUUCGAUCCGUAGCUGGUCUGAGAGGACGAUCAGCCACACUGGGACUGAGACACGGCCCAGACUCCUACGGGAGGCAGCAGUGGGGAAUCUUGCGCAAUGGGGGCAACCCUGACGCAGCCAUGCCGCGUGAACGAUGAAGGCCUUAGGGUUGUAAAGUUCUUUUACCCGUGACGAUGAUGACGUAACGGGGGAUAAGCUCCGGCUAACUACGUGCCAGCAGCCGCGGUAAU